GCCCUCGUAGCUCAGUUGGUCAGAGCAGCGGACUUUUAAUCCGACGGUCCCCGGUUCGAGCCCGGGUGGGGGCA
rnacentral:tRNA from 1 species